CGAUAGAAAACUCAAAGUGUCAGGAAUCAACCCAAACAUAUCAUUAAGUAUAAGAAAUUAUGAAUAAGUUGUUAUAAAUUAAAGGAAAGACAUUCAAAUUGGGUUUUUGAAAAUCCAGUUAGAUGAUUUACAAGUGUUCAGUUAUCUAUUGCUACAUGACAAACCACUCUAAAACUUAAUGGUUUAAGAUGAAGAUGAUUGAUCAUUUUUCAUAGUCCUGUAGGCUGGUAUCUGUGUGGUUCUUCUGCUGAUCUUGUUGGGAGCACUCAUGUGGUUGCUGUCAGCUGACAGCUCAGCCAGAGCUGGAGACUCCAGGAUGUCCCCCGUGCAUGUCUGGGGGUCAGUAAUUGUCUUGACUGGGGCGCCUCAGUUCUCUUCCAUGUGGUAGUUGUCCUAUUGUAAAAAUGACCAUUUAGGAAUACUCUUGCUGUCCACUGGGCUGACUCACAGGCAUUGUGACAUGAAAGGUCAGGGUCAAAUGUAUCACAAUAUGAACUUGGGCUGGCAUGGUGGCUCACAUCUAUAAUCCCAGCACUUUGGGAGGCCAAGGUGGGAGGAUCACUUGAGGCCAGGCGUUAAGAAACCAGCUUGAACAACAUAGUAAGACCUCAUCUCUACAAAAAAUACAAAAAUUAGAGAAUGUGCUCCAUCAAAAAGAGAGAAUAAACCAAGAAGAGGAAGACAGAGGAUCCGGAAACAGGGAUGAUGGUGCACGGAAGUCCCAGGAUGACAGCUGUGCAUCAGGCCUUCAGCAGCCAGGAUGGGAGCAGAAGGAUGGGGAGCUCUGGGAGUGUCUCCAAGAAAGAAAAAGAAACUGAUCAAAUAUCUAAUUUUUAAAACAUAUUGAGGGGAAAUUUAUACUUCUGCAAUAAAUUUUAGGAUAUCGUAAUAGAAACUAAGAAAAUAACAAAUAAAAAAACAAAAAAACAAAAAACAAGGUAAUUAUCAACCGCGGGAGAAGAAAGGUUGUAUGAGAAAAGAAAUAAAAACAGAAUUCAGUACAUGGAUCAGCUGUGAACUGUGUUUGCAUAAUUAUUAUAAUGUAAACAUUGGAACAAUCAUUUCAGCAAAAGUUGCAAUUUAA
rnacentral:lncRNA from 1 species